rfam:Myotis brandtii contig315706, whole genome shotgun sequence.
AACUUUUUCCAAGCAUUAAAUGUUGCAAACCUACCCACUGAGCCGUCAAGAAAGGGCAAAGGAAAAACAGCGCUUUUGGGUGAAGCGGCAGCGUGUUGUGUUGUUUUGCUUCAAUCGGUGGUGUGACAAGG